rnacentral:rRNA from 1 species
AUUGAACGCUGGCGGCAGGCCUAACACAUGCAAGUCGAACGAGUGGCGGACGGGUGAGUAAUGUCUGGGAAACUGCCUGAUGGAGGGGGAUAACUACUGGAAACGGUAGCUAAUACCGCAUACCAUCGGAUGUGCCCAGAUGGGAUUAGCUAGUAGGUGGGGUAAAGGCUCACCUAGGCGACGAUCCCUAGCUGGUCUGAGAGGAUGACGAGCGACACUGGAACUGAGACACGGUCCAGACUGCUACGGGAGGCAGCAGAGGGGAAUAUGGCACAAAGGGCGCAAGCCUGAGACAGACAUGCAGCGUGUAUGAAGAAGGCCUUCGGGUUGUAAAGCACUUUCAGCGGGGAGGCGUUACCCGCAGAAGAAGCACCGGCUAACUCCGUGCCAGCAGCCGCGGUAAUUC